UACGUAGGGUGCAAGCGUUGUCCGGAAUUAUUGGGCGUAAAGCGCGCGCAGGCGGUCCUUUAAGUCUGAUGUGAAAGCCCUCGGCUCAACCGAGGAGGGUCAUUGGAAACUGGAGGACUUGAGUGCAGAAGAGGAAAGUGGAAUUCCAAGUGUAGCGGUGAAAUGCGUAGAGAUUUGGGGGAACACCAGUGGCGAAGGCGACUUUCUGGUCUGUAACUGACGCUGAGGCGCGAAAGCGUGGGGAGCAAACAGG
rnacentral:rRNA from 1 species